GGGUUGUGAGGUUAAGCGACUAAGCGUACACGGUGGAUGCCCUGGCAGUCAGAGGCGAUGAAGGACGUGCUAAUCUGCGAAAAGCGUCGGUAAGGUGAUAUGAACCGUUAUAACCGGCGAUGUCCGAAUGGGGAAACCCAGUGUGAUUCGUCACACUAUCGUUAACUGAAUACAUAGGUUAACGAGGCGAACCGGGGGAACUGAAACAUCUAAGUACCCCGAGGAAAAGAAAUCAACCGAGAUUCCCCCAGUAGCGGCG
rnacentral:rRNA from 1 species